UAGGUGGCCUAGUGAUUAGAGCGUCUGCCUCGGAUGCUGAAGGUCGUAGGUUCGAUCCCAUGCCGGGUCAU